rnacentral:lncRNA from 1 species
UUGCUCAAAUUUUGUUAGCAACUGUUUGCGCGUUGUAUCAAUUCUAUAUUUUACACUUCACCCUUUGUGUCAGCAGGUGAUAUGCGUAGAAAACUCUGAAUUGAUCUCAAAUGCGAGAAAAAAGUGACGGAUUCUGAUUCGGAGUCACAAAGUGACGGAGACCCGGCUGGAGACAAAGCUUUUCUUCAGCAAAGGUUCAGUCCUGUUUCUCAUAACAGCAAUAGCGGGGAAGUAACUUGCCGACCAAAGCCCAUAAAAGCAAGGCUGGCCUCAGAAUCGAAUAGCUUACCCAGUACAGGUGAGACUGUAGCGGUUUUGUCUUACCCUUAUCAUUCACCUGUCAACCCCACUGGUAUUUCUGGUUUUCAACCUACAGGCGGGGCUUUCAAAACUAUGCCUGCCUCUCCAAAAGUUAUAAAAUCAGAACCCAUCCAAAUGCAAACUACCAGCACCGUAUGGAGUGGGAAUAGAUCAUCCGAACCGGUGACAACUUCUUGGACGUCUGUCACGAAUUUGUUGUCACCAGUAGUCACUGUUGCUGCUGUUUCCACUGCUGUUACCUCAUCCUCUUGGACUCCAAACAAAACGACAGUCGCCAACAUUAUCUGGAGCUCAUCUCCUGCCAGCAUAACCACGAACGCAUCUGUCAGCACCAACUCCUGGGCAACAACUGAUGCUGCAACAGACUCUCCUCGGUGGUCCGAUUCCACGACAGUGUCCGUUGCACAGAACCCGCCCCCCACCAAUAAAAUAUUCAAUGUAAAAACUACGUUAUCUCAGCCGCUUGCAUCUUACCAUUACAUUCCGUCAUCAGCAGUGAAGCUUACAACCACGGAUCAGCUCGUGAACAAUGUCAUGACUACUAGAAAACUAGACCUUAAGCCGGUUGCUCAAGGUCAAUAUUCCCUGAUAAACUUUACGCCGAGUUUAUCAAAUAUGAAAUUCAUUUCUAGUCAGAAUGUUUCAACUGUCGGUCAGCAGCCAUUGCAGAAAACUGUGCUUGCGCCUCAAGCGAAUGUGCGGACCGCACAGGUCUUGAGUAGCACAACAAUUUUACAACCACAGAUCAUCGGUAAAAGUGCAGGAAAUCAAAACGUUACAACUAGCGGGUCUCUUAUAGUUCAAUCCCAAGGGUCAGUGAAAAGUCGUUACCAAUUUUGCAGACUACUUCUGUUCGGCCUUCCGGUCCGUCAACACAUCAGAGCCAACCGCUGACCCUUCUGCUCAGUGAUCAGUAUGUCACUUUGCUGAAACCCUCUAGCCAAAUUGUUGAAGUCGAUUCAUCUACAACUGGUGCAAAUUCGGAGCCGCUUCAGUAUGUUUUAAGCACACCUGGCACGAGGGUACAGAAUGUUUAUCUCCCACAUCAAGGCGGCUUUCAAAUCCCGAUCUCAAGUAAGUGCUCUUGUUUCUUUCACUUAAAAUUUUGAUUUCUUUUACAGAAGCAACAAACAAAAUAAUUGCUUCUAUCAACUCAAGAGACAGUUAAAUCAGUCAGUGCAUUGUAGAAAUUUUUUCAGCACAGCAUUUUUCAUUAAGUGAAUUUAAAAUCAGAAUUUGAAUUGUGACAGAAAUCCUCGAAUAUUCUGUAGAAUAAGGUAUAAGUAUUUUAGCAAUCUCCUAACCAAUAUAGGGCAUGAGUUUGUAUUUUAUUUGGAUAGAUUUCAGCUCACAACUUAUAAUUUCAAGCAUCUUUUCCUCAAAAUUAUUCUUUUAACCUUCUAAUUUUUUUUAUUUCAAGCCAUCAUGAUUCUUGCUUGAUCUGUAAUUUUUGUGUCUAAAUGUUCACAAAGCACUGCCAAGCUGUGCUACCAGCAAUUUAUUACUUUCCUUCAUCCUGUGGAGGGUCACAUUUUCCCAGUCUACGCUUUGCGAGGCACCAGUACCAUAGUCAAUAUUGAAACGCCUAGUUUUCCUGGUUUCAAAAUCCAUUUUUACUGCGAAAACUGCUGAAGUUGCUAUUAAGUCUCCUCUUUUUUUCACUAAUUUUAAAGCUUCAUUGUUAAAUGAUUAUCCUGUUUGCAGCUGCUGAUGGAGGAGUUAGACAAGUAUCUGUGAAACCACCAUUGCAAUUAGUUGCAACCUCUCAAGCUCUCUCAGCUGCCUCAACUGUGAUCGUUAGCAAACCAAAUUCUCUCUCUAACCAGUGAGUACCGUUUUUAGCCUUCAUUUAUUCAUUCACUGUUUCACCAAAAUUUAAUAUGCCAUCAAUUUAGUUCUUCAGUCAAAAUCAUCUCCAAAUGUUGUCAACCACAAGAAGAAAGAAAAGGAAAUUAAAGAACGCCUUGUCAGUGAUUUCAAAAAUUUCAAUCCCCUCUUUGAUGAACUUGGUUAGAUAAUUGCUUCAGAGUAGCUUAGAGUACCUGUAUAGUGAGAGUAUGGACAGAUGUGAAACUCCGAAAAUCCAUCAGGCCUUCACCGUUGCCUCAGCGAAUAAAGUUAGGGCCCAGAAAUGCAGCUAACCUAUGAAUUUCAAUUAUCCAGAACGAUUUACUAAUACUAUUGUUACGAACCGUCGUUUAUAAAGCACGUAUUUGACUCAGUUUUUGCAUAAAUUUACUCAUUUUUGCGGAAGAACGCUCAUCUCUGUUAAUUCUUGGCCAUUUUGGUUAUAAUUGGAAUUUGUAAACUCUUACAGACUGGCAGUGAAAUUUUGUGUGUUAGAAGUUAGUUAGAAGGAUGGACUGCACUUUUGGGCCCUAAGACGUCCAUGUAGCGAUCUGUCCAUACUCUUACUAUACAGGUACUCUAGAGUAGCUGUCCUCACUCAUCAGUGCCUUUGAAAGUAGACUAAUUGAUGCUUGUGGAGGUCCUUACGAACAUUUGCCAACAAAGUUCAUCAUGAAGUGAGCUCAAUUCUUUAAACUAACUGAAUAAGUUUUUUUUUAAUUUCUCUCAUUUUUUUUUCGUUUGACAGCUCACAGUCUUGUAUCUUGUGUUUUGCUAAGUCAAAUUUUUAAAGUCAGAAAUGCAAACACAGUAAAGUAGACUUGUUAAACCUUUUGAGUCACUACAUCGUAAAGCACCAACUGACAGCACUGGAAUUAUAAUAAUGUAUUAAGGGAAGGAAUAAGUAGUUUAUUCAGGCAACGCUAACUGUUGUGCAGAAGUCUCAGUUUGCCGUGGCUUGUAAGUGACCACAGCUCCUGCAAUUCUCAUGUAGUGAAUGAGUGAGAAUGACUUGACUGCAUGAUUAUAAAAUCCACAUCGUUCAUGAAUAUUGCAUAAUAUUUUGUCGUUUGUUUUUGUUACUGAAGAACUAGCAACCAAGAAGACCCAAGUCAUGGUUACAACAGCAUUUGGAACAAGAGCAACAACAACAGCAGCAACAACAACAACAACAACAACAACAACAACAAGUACAGCAACAGAUCCAACAACAGCAGCAGCAACAACAAAUCCAACAGCAGCAAGUACAAACAACAAAUCCAGCAGCAACAGUACAACAGCAGAUUCAACAGCAACACCAACAGAUCCAGCAGCAACAACUACAACAGCAAUUGCAGCAAAAGCAGCAGCAAGAGAAGCAGCGGCAGUUUCAACUGCAGAGUCAGUUCGUACAAUCAAGACAAGAGAAUUCUAAUGUCGUGUUCGUCGUCUGACAAACAUACCCCUAGUGCCAUUUUUAGCUCUGGUAAGUUACGCGUCACCACUAAGAGUGAAUUGAUGAAAAAAACUAUAGCAGUUGAAGUUUUUUCAUUCAAGUAUCAAAUGUAUUUUGAUGACUUCAUUCUUCAAUAAAUUAGUUCAUAAAUUUUUUAACGUCCAGGGUAGGAGGGGGGAUCGGGGGAGAGCGUUAUGCCAUUUUGUUUUUAUGAGUUAAAGGAUAGGGACUUACAUCACUAAAGCGUUACGGGGGGCGGGGGGGUCUAACGAUGGUGUAAAAUUUGUGAACGCUCCCUAAAUUGAGUGAAAAAAUAGUGGCCACUUUUAUGAGUAUGAUUGUUACAAACUUUUAAACGCUUCCACAUUGUCAAAUGUUUCCAAGUUCCAUGCAUUUUAGGUAUCACACCAAAAGAAUUGCUUCACUUUAGAAAAGAAUUGUGAAAUUGAAUUUGGAUAAAUUGGUUUGCAGCCUGUAAAUUGUUUUCAAAAGUUUUGAUUUUCUUCCAAUUUUCAAGUUCCUGAAUGAACCAAAUUUUGGGAAAUGUGUAUUGUAAGCACUUAAAAUUCCUCGAAUUUAGGAAGUUUUAGUGUGAUUUGGUAGUUUUGUGUGUGUUAAAUUACAAUUAAACUAUAUUUUUCUCUUGACACAAAUCGUUUGAAGCAAUUGUAUUUCUCAUAGAUUUCGAAAUGUAUAAUUGAAAUCACUAAAAUAAAUCCUUCAAAAUAAAAAUUUUAUUUCCAUUAAUUUGUGCAUGUGUAUUCUAUGCGAUGUUACAGAGAAGUCCAGUGAACAGUCCUCGGGGAGCUCAGAUCGAAAUAAAAAUGACAGUGAUCUCUCUAUCCAUCCGUCAGUUAGUCAAAAGAUGCGCAGUACACUCACUUUGCGCUCUUUAACCAGAACAAAACUGACAGUCCUGGAAUCUCAAAUAGCUCAAAUACACGGGACCAUGCCGAAGAGUUUGAGACCUUCGUUCUUGCUCCCACCCCCCCUGCUCAAUUAGGCAAAGCGCCGCUACAGCGUCGACAAUCAAUGGGUAAACUUAAUUUUUCUUUCAUCAAAUCAUCUUUAUCAGUAAUAUUCACAGGAAAUUUGCAAUGUUUAAAUUACAAAUUUUGACAGAAUAGGAAGAGAGACAUGUGGAGGGUUGUCUUCGAAUCAUGCUGAACACGUUGGACACGACAGACUGAAAAAUUCCAAGAUCAAUUGAUAAAGUAGUUAAGAAAACAAAGUAUAAGAAAACAGGCCGAAUUUUUCAGUAAACCAGUACAAAACAACAGUUUAAUUAGCAACAACAAGUCGUAACCACCUGAAUAGUUAGUGAAAUUUCAGCAGCUGUAAAGAGCUAAUCUGAGGUCAAAUAGGCAUGUUACAAACUAAUUCCAGCCCUGCUAAUGUUCUGAUCAAUGGCAAGUUUAAGUUUUAAAAGCUGCCAAGCUUGUCAUUGUUAUAUUUUCUUUUUUCCUUUUCAGCCAUGAUGUCUUCGUCGUCUGAAAACCAGCAAAGUAUGGACGACCCAAGAAUCCGGAGUUGUUUCGUCUCCAUCAACAAAACGUAGUUUCUUCAAGAAAACACAGAGGGACGGCCGUGACAGGUUUGAAACCAACGUUAAAAUUUCUGAAAUAUCUCAUUUCAAAACUUAAGAAUCAACAAAUAAGUUCUAACUGUCUUAAAAACGAGUGUUGAAUACUUAUUGUUAAAAAAGAACAUUUAGGAGUAUUCAAUAAUUAUCGGUUUAUCACUUUCUUUGUUUUUUUUUCUGUCUUUUCCCUGGCACUUUUAAUAUAGUACCUCAUAGAUAACUGAAAAAAACCCUUGUCCCGAGCAAAUAUCCUGUUUCUCUCUUAAAGACGGUCUUCUCCCAAGAAAUUUAUCUGGUUUCAAUGGAAUUUGCCAGUUUUUUUGUGCAUUGAACAAUAUAAGUAUUUUAUAUUUCUUCUGGUAGUAUGCUAAUCUCUUUGAUCUUUUAUUUUCAGAGUCCUCGAACGUGUUAAUUUUGAAAAGAAAUUUUCGUCGUUACCUGAAUUCAAACCUGAAGAUUUGUCAGUCUCCAAGUGCCCUUUCUGUA